rnacentral:rRNA from 1 species
GACGAACGCUGGCGGCGUGCUUAACACAUGCAAGUCGAACGGAAAGGCCCUGCUUUUGUGGGGUGCUCGAGUGGCGAACGGGUGAGUAACACGUGAGUAACCUGCCCUUGACUUUGGGAUAACUUCAGGAAACUGGGGCUAAUACCGGAUAGGAGCUCCUGCUGCAUGGUGGGGGUGGGAAAGUUUCGGCGGUUGGGGAUGGACUCGCGGCCUAUCAGCUUGUUGGUGGGGUAGUGGCUUACCAUGGCUUUGACGGGUAGCCGGCCUGAGAGGGUGACCGGCCACACUGGGACUGAGAUACGGCCCAGACUCCUACGGGAGGCAGCAGUGGGGAAUAUUGCACAAUGGGCGGAAGCCUGAUGCAGCCACGCCGCGUGCGGGAUGACGGCCUUCGGGUUGUAAACCGCUUUCGCCUGUGACGAAGCGUGAGUGACGGUAAUGGGUAAAGAAGCACCGGCUAACUACGUG